rnacentral:rRNA from 1 species
UACGGAGGAUGCGAGCGUUAUCCGGAUUCACUGGGUUUAAAGGGUGCGCAGGCGGACGAAUAAGUCAGGGGUGAAAUCCUACGGCUUAACUGUAGAACUGCCUUUGAUACUGUUCGUCUGGAGUAAAGUUGGAGUGGGCGGAAUGUGUUGUGUAGCGGUGAAAUGCUUAGAUAUAACACAGAACACCGAUCGCGAAGGCAGCUCACUAAGCUUUAACUGACGCUCAUGCACGAAAGCGUGGGGAUCAAACAGGAUUAGAUACCCUGGUAGUCCACGCUGUAAGCGAUGAUCACUCGCUGUUGGCGAUAUACAGUCAGUGGCUAAGCGAAAGUGAUAAGUGAUCCACCUGGGGAGUACGACCGCAAGGUUGAA